rnacentral:rRNA from 1 species
AAGCGUGUAGGUGUGUGUUCCAGGUAAAUCCGGUUCACUUUAACACUGAGGCGUGAUGACGAGGCACUACGGUGCUGAAGCAACAAAUGCCCUGCUUCCAGGAAAAGCCUCUAAGCAUCAGGUAACAUCAAAUCGUACCCCAAACCGACACAGGUGGUCAGGUAGAGAAUACCAAGGCGCUUGAGAGAACUCGGGUGAAGGAACUAGGCAAAAUGGUGCCGUAACUUCGGGAGAAGGCACGCUGACACGUAGGUGAAGUGAUUUACUCAUGGAGCUGAAGUCAGUCGAAGAUACCAGCUGGCUGCAACUGUUUAUUAAAAACACAGCACUGUGCAAACACGAAAGUGGACGUAUACGGUGUGACGCCUGCCCGGUGCCGGAAGGUUAAUUGAUGGGG